CACGGACGGUCUGAUGCGAUAAACGAGGUAAAUCUGUCUCCUACAAUUACUAUCCAGGGAUCUGCCUCUGUUCUGGGUGUGCACGCCCGCACGUCGGGAAGCCCAAAGGAAUAUCGUGGAGCCCACCUACGCUAAGAGUAGGGGAUGGCAUCACCUCACGGUCGGACGGUUCGUGC
rnacentral:other from 1 species